rnacentral:lncRNA from 1 species
CCUCUCUUGCAACUCUAGGUUUUAGGACAAAGGCUUGUUCUUUUAAAACAAGCCUAAUCCUAACAACUCUAAGGGUUUAAGAGAUCUAGAAGAAGGUGGUCAGGUUAAGUGGGUAGUUCUAAAAAGUUCAGACUCAAGUCUGAAGGAAGAUCUGAUCGAUUGGUGGCUAGUCGAGUUCUAGAGGCUAGAACUCUUGAAGCAA